rnacentral:rRNA from 1 species
GUAGGUGGCAAGCGUUGUCCGGAAUUAUUGGGCGUAAAGCGCGCGCAGGCGGUUCUUUAAGUCUGAUGUGAAAGCCCACGGCUCAACCGUGGAGGGUCAUUGGAAACUGGAGAACUUGAGUACAGAAGAGGAAAGCGGAAUUCCACGUGUAGCGGCGAAAUGCGUAGAGAUGUGGAGGAACACCAGUGGCGAAGGCGGCUUUCUGGUCUGUAACUGACGCUGAGGCGCGAAAACGUGGGGAGCAAACAGGGAUUAGAUACCCUGGUAGUCCACGCCGUAAACGAUGAGUGCUAAGUGUUAGGGGGGUUUCCGCCCCCUUAGUGCUGCAGCUAACGCAUUAAGCACUCCGCCUGGGGAGUACGGCCGCAAGGCUG